rnacentral:rRNA from 1 species
AACGAACGUUAGCGGCGCGCCUAACACAUGCAAGUCGAGCGAGAAGGGAGCAAUCCCAGUAAAGCGGCGCACGGGUGAGUAACACGUAGGUAAUCUACCUCGAGGUGGUGGAUAACCUUCCGAAAGGAGGGCUAAUACAGCAUGAGACCACGUUCUCGAAAGAGGAUGAGGUAAAAGCGGGCCUCUAUACAUAAGCUCGCGCCACGAGAUGAGCCUGCGGCCCAUCAUGGGAGUUGGUAGGGUAACGGCCUACCAAGCCGAAGACGGGUAGCUGGUCUGAGAGGAUGAUCAGCCACACUGGAACGGAGACAGGGUCCAGACUCCUACGGGAGGCAGCAGUGGGGAAUCUUGCGCAAUGGCCGAAAGCCUGCCGCAGCGACGCCGCGUGAGUGAUGAAGGUCUUCGGGUUGUAAAGCUCUGUGGAGGGGGACGAAUAAGGGUUGGCUAACAUCCAGCUCGAUGACGGUACCCCUUUAGCAAGCACCGGCUAACUCUGUGCCAGCCGCCGCAGUAAAAC